AUAUUAGGAAUUUAUACUGUGUGUAUGGGAAGAAGUGUGGUGCCAUCCUAAAAGUGAAGAGUGGUGGGAAACAAUUGUUCCUUAUAUGCAAUAUGUGGAACAGUUGCAUAUAUUGCAUAGAUUGCAGCUUUUCAGAAUAAAUUUGACAUGUCUGGGCAUCCGCCCGCAGACCUGUCGAAACAUCGACCCCGUUCCCCCUCAGCAUUCGGACGUCUAGUAGUAAAAAAACUUCAAAAUGUAGGUGAAAUUCCCGCCUGUCGACCCACUUCAACAGUGACGCAACCAAAUCAUUACUACUCUCAUGAAGAAAAUUCAAUUUAUUUAUUAAGAACAGAACCAAACUUACAACUUGUUAGCAAACAUAAUAACACUAGCGUUG
rnacentral:lncRNA from 1 species